rnacentral:rRNA from 1 species
CCUACGGGCGUCAGCAGUAGGGAAUCUUCCACAAUGAGCGAAAGCCUGAUGGAGCGACGCCGCGUGGGUGAAGAAGGUCUUCGGAUCGUAAAACGCUGUUGUUAGAGAAGAAAGUGUGUGAGAGUAACUGUUCACGUCUCGACGGUAUCUUAUCAGAAAGUGACGGCUAACUACGUGCCAGCAGCCGCGGUAAUACGUAGGUGGCAAGCGUUAUCCGGAGUUAUUGGGCGUAAAGGGAAUGCUGGCGGUCUUAUAAGUCUGAUGUUAAAACCCUAGGCUUAACCCGAGUCGCGCUUUGGAAACUGGUUGACUUGAGUGAAAAAGAGGUGAGUGGAAUUCCAAGUGAAGCGGUGGAAUGCGUAGAUAUUAGGAAGAACACCAGCGGCGAAAGCAGCUCACUGGUUUGUCACUGACGCUGAGGUUCGAAAGCGUGGGUAGCAAACAGGAUUAGAUACCCCAGUAGUC